GCUCUCGUAGACCAACGGCAGAGUGAACGGACUUAAACCCCGUGUAGUGUGAGUUCGAAUCUCACCGGGAGCAUCA
rnacentral:tRNA from 2 species